rnacentral:rRNA from 1 species
ACUCGUAACGGUGGAUGUCUCGGUUCCUACAUCGAUGAAGAACGUAGCAAACUGCGAAACGUAAUGCGAAUUGCAGAUCUCGUGAAUCAUCAAAUCUUUGAACGCAAGUUGCGCUCGCGGGUAACCCUGUGAGCAUGUCUGCUUGAGUGUCCGCACAAAUCCGAUUUUGGCAUUCCGCAACUGUUGAGAAAUAAUUAUUUUUCCGGUUGCUAAGAGUGCCGCUGAUGGGUGCGUCCGUGUUGAUUUUUUUUCUGUUGAUUCAGAAAAAUUGAUGCGGUCACCUGGAAAAGAGAUGGGGCGAUUCUCAAAAAUCAGGUUUUCUGGUUUUCGUCGCGCGUUUCACGACAGAGUAGCGGGUUUCUGUUUUCUGAGCAGGGAAAAAAGUAUUUUUCCGAUCACUGCGGAUGGAUGGUUUCGGCUGUCUGUUUCUGUUGGGGGUCGACGUAGUAUUUGUUUUUUUCGGCGACGGAAAUGGAUCGUGAAAAAUCGUGUUGUGCGCGGUGCAAUAAUCGAAAAACUGGUUUCGUCGUUCUUUGUACGAAAGAAUACCGUUGUGGGCUGGUCGAAGAUAGUUUUCUGAGCAACGGCUUUUUGGCCGCUGCGCUUGCAGAAGAUACUUUUCCGGUCGCUGCGAAUUGAUGGUUUCGACUUUCUGUUCUGUGGCGGGUGACGUAGUAUAUUUUUUUUGCGAGAUGGAAAAUGUUCUCCCUGUUCCAAAAUUCGGGAAAAUCGUGCGUGUGCGAUGCAAAAAUUGAGAGUUGGCGCCCAGUUUUUUGCAGAGUUUUGUGAUAGAAACUCUGAAAACAAUCAUUUACUGGAUCUCAAGUCAGACAAGGCGACCCGCUGAAUUUAAGCAUAUAAUUAAGCGGAGGAAAAGAAACUAACCAGGAUUCCCCUAGUAGCGGCGAGCGAAGCGGGAAAAGCCCAAUAUGAAAAGCCAGCUUGCUGGCGUUGUAGUUUGAGCGGCCUGCAGCUGUCAGUCUGGGAAAGUGGCAUGGAAAUGUCCACCGUGGAGGGUGAGAGUCCCGUCCAUCCCAGUCAGGGCAGUUGGUACGUGGCCGUUUCAGUCGAGUCGGGUAGCUUGGGAAUGCUGCUCUAAUCGGUGGUAAAUCUCAUCGAAGGCUAAAUACUGGUAGGAAACCGAUAGCGCACAAGUACCGUGAGGGAAAGGUGAAAAGCACUUUGAAAAGAGGGUGACAAGAACCUGAAACCGUUACGAGGGAAGCGGAUUGCAUCGAGUUGAUGGGUGUUUGCGCUUUCAGCCGGAAAAUUUUUUUUUGGUGGACUGGCGCAGACACUUACCCGUCGUGAGUUCUUGGCUGCCGAACCAACGGCGUGCCGAGGACUGUGGGAUCCCCUUUAUUGGGUGAGGACGAUGGGGCAGCGGUGCGAUACGACCCGUCUUGAAACACGGACCAAGGAGUCUAGCGGUGCUGCGAGUCGAAGGGACGUUUAAUCCUUGUAGGCGCAGUGAAAGCGAAUUACCAUAAGAAAUUGUGCUAAUUUGAGGGGGCAUGAGGUCGUUGACCAGAAAGUCCCACCUGGAGCAGUAGCGCUAGGACCCGAAAGAUGGUGAACUAUGCCUGAGUAGGGCGAAGCCAGAAGAAAUUCUGGUGGAGGCUCGUAGCGGUGCUGACGUGCAAAUCGCUCGUCGAACUUGGGUAUAGGGGCGAAAGACUAAUCGAACCAUCUGGUAGCUGGUUCCCCCCGAAGUUUCUCUCAGGAUAGCGGGCUGACAUGACGUUGUUUUGUGCGGUAAAGCGAAUGAUUAGCGCAUUUGGGGGCGUGCAGCCUUCUGGCGAUUCUCAAACUUUAAAUGCGCAAGCUGGCGCCGCUGCUUAAUUGAGCGGUUUUAGCUAGAAAAAACGUCAGCCCCGUGGGCCACUUUUGGUAAGCAGAACUGGCGAUGCGGGAUGAACCGAAAGCGUAGUUAAGGCGUCAAAUUGUCCGCUUAUAGAUCCCACAAAAGGCGUUGGUUCAUCGAGACAGCAGGACGGUGGCCAUGGAAGUCGGAAUCCGCUAAGGAGUGUGUAACAACUCACCUGCCGAAUGAGGUAGCCCUGAAAAUGGAUGACGCUUAAGCGGGCAGCCGAUACUACGCCGUCGAUUUUAGUGAAAAACAAAUCGAUGAGUAGGGGGGCGUGGUGGUCGUGUCGAAGCAUUGCGUGCGAACGCGUGUGAAACGGCCACUAGUGCAGAUCUUGGUGGUAGUAGCAAAUAUUCAAGUGAGAACCUUGAAGGGCGAAGCGGGGAAGGGUUCCAUGCGAACAUUGAUUGGGCAUGGGUGAGUCGUCCCUAAGCCGAGUGGCCAUUGCUUACUCAGGCGGCGAAAGGGAAGCGGGUUGAAAUUCCCGCACACGGAUGUGGAACAAGGCGGUGACGCAAAUUACUGGGGCGGUGACGUUGGCAGUGGCGCUGGGCAGAGUUUUCUUUUCUGUUUAACCGCCUGACGCUUGCUCUGUGGAAUCCGAUUGUCGGGAGAAACAGGCAAGGCACGGGU